UAUACUUUAGGAGAAGAAAACCAGCACGCAUGUCUCUAAUUUUGCAGAAGUAAAAGAUACUUCAAGGGUUGAUACAAAACCUUUAUUUGUUUGCGAAAACAAG